rnacentral:rRNA from 1 species
UACGUAGGGGGCUAGCGUUGUCCGGAAUCAUUGGGCGUAAAGCGCGUGUAGGCGGUCCGGUAAGUCCGCUGUGAAAGUCGAGGGCUCAACCCUCGAAUGCCGGUGGAUACUGUCGGGCUAGAGUGCGGAAGAGGCGAGUGGAAUUCCUGGUGUAGCGGUGAAAUGCGCAGAUAUCAGGAGGAACACCGAUUGCGAAGGCAGCUGACGAAACUAUAACUGACACUGAGGCUCGAAAGUGUGGGGAUCAAAACAGGG